UACUGUGCUAAGUCGGUUCAGUUGGGUCCCUUUCUGUGCGACCCUGUGGACUGUAGCCCACCAGGCUCCUCUGUCCAUGGGAUUCUCCAGGCAAGGAUACUGGAGUGGGGAGAGGGAAGGAGAGGAUGAGAUG